UGUAGGGUGAUGAAACCGGCAGACAUGCCCUCCUGUCUCGAGGGUGGAGGUAAAGAAUAAAUCAGCUCAGGCUGGCUAACUGCUCCUUGAAGGUUCGAAUCCUUCCCCUACAGCCA
rnacentral:tRNA from 1 species